AGCUUUGCACAAUGGCAGUAUCGUAGCCAGUGAGGUUUAUCCACGGUGUGAUUAUUGCUAAUAGAAAACUUUUCCCAAUACCCCGCCAUGAUGACUUGCAAUAUAGUUGGCACUGGCAAUUUUUGGCAGUCCCCACGGGUA